AUUGAACGCUGGCGGCAGGCCUAACACAUGCAAGUCGAGCGGCAGCACAGAAAAACUUGUUUCUCGGGUGGCGAGCGGCGGACGGGUGAGUAAUGCCUGGGAAAUUGCCCUGAUGUGGGGGAUAACCAUUGGAAACGAUGGCUAAUACCGCAUGAUGCCUACGGGCCAAAGAGGGGGACCUUCGGGCCUCUCGCGUCAGGAUAUGCCCAGGUGGGAUUAGCUAGUUGGUGAGGUAAGGGCUCACCAAGGCGACGAUCCCUAACUGGUCUGAGAGGAUGAUCAGCCACACUGGAACUGAGACACGGUCCAGACUCCUACGGGAGGCAGCAGUGGGGAAUAUUGCACAAUGGGCGCAAGCCUGAUGCAGCCAUGCCGCGUGUGUGAAGAAGGCCUUCAGGUUGUAAAGCACUUUCAGUUGUGAGGAAGGUGGUGUCAUUAAUAGCGGCAUCAUUUGACGUUAGCAACAGAAGAAGCACCGGCUAACUCCGUGCCAGCAGCCGCGGUAAUACGGAGGGUGCGAGCGUUAAUCGGAAUUACUGGGCGUAAAGCGCAUGCAGGUGGUUUGUUAAGUCAAUGUGAAAGCCCGGGGCUCAACCUCGGAACUGCAUUUGAAACUGGCAGACUAAGUACUGUAGAGGGGGGUAGAAUUUCAGGUGUAGCGAUGAAAUGCGUAAGAUCUGAAAGAAUACCGGUGGCGAAGCGGCCCCCUGGACAGAUACUGACACUCAAUGCGAAAGCGUGGGGAGCAACAG
rnacentral:rRNA from 1 species